GGUCAAACGGAAGCUCCCUAACCUCUCCCUCUCAUUUUCUCCCCUCCCCUACAUUUGGUUGGAAGCUCCUUGUCUGCGCCAAUUCGUGCGAGCUCCUCCCCCACCUAUAAGUUUGAUGUGUUGUGCUUCAUUUAAAAACACAUUUUCUGUGCAUGUCUAAAUUUAUGGCUCAACAAGUUGUUGCCUUCCCAGUUAUGGGCUUCUAAGUUUCUCCUUUCUUUCUAUUAUGGUGGUAUUUCCCAUCGUGAAUGGGAUCAAUAGAGAUUGGGUAUUCUUUACCUCACCACCUGAACAUAUUGCUCAUUUUGGUUUGCCACAUGUUAAAAAAUAUACCAAAACCAUGUAUUUUUCUAUGAUUUUUUUUCUUUAAUUUAUUUCAUAUCUUCUAAAGGAAAAAUGAAAGAAGGUUUUCAAAAAGAACAAAAAAAAAAAAAAAAAACAAAGUAGAAGAAGCUUCAAUGGCUUUGCAAUUAAGUAGUAAUUUUCAACAACUUUAUGUUCAUUUCUAAUUAGAAAGUAGUAUUUUGUUCACUGCCCACAUUUGUCAAAAUAUGAAAAUCCUAAUAGAAACCUUUUAAGCUUGAAAAUCCAGUGCAGUGUAUAUUCAAAAAAGAAAUGAUCGCUUUGUAUGGUGACUUUAAUUUUUGUGCUACUCUGACAGUGCUCUUAGAAUUUUGGUUAACUUGGGAGCAAAGUACUAGAUCCUUGAAGAAUGUUAGACUCUAGUUUGUUUACAAGACAUCAACCACAAGACACAAGAGUUUCUGAGUACUAAUAUGUCUGGUGACUGCAAUCUCCUAUAUAGAACACAUUCUCAUCCCUAUCAAAUUCAUUAUGAUCGAAUCACAUGUUUGAAGCUUUGCUAUAUAGCUAGAAGGCAAUAAUAACACUAAACAAUUCACUAGCCCAUAAUUUGAUGCUAUAAAAUCUACCUUUUAGGUAGAAGUGACUUGUGUAGAGUGAAAAAGAUAAGUGGUCAACAUCCUGUACAUUUAUGCUCUUGAUAAUGGCAAAUAUGGUAAAAGCCACUUGAUAGCUAUUCAUUGUCUUGGGCUUUUCUCUUUCUUGAAUGUCUGGCCAUGCUAUUUUGAUAUCAAAAUUUCUCUAUGUGGAUGUCAUAGAUUCACUUCAAAGCAAUGACACUAUGGCAUUGGUUAGUUGUAAAUAUUGCAAGGUUAGAGAAAAAUAUUACAAGAUGGAAGGCACAGAGGAAGAUAGAAUGUCGCCCUUGCCUUCUACAGUGAUUUCACCAAUCCAGGUAUGAUAAACGUUUGUUAUUUGGAUAUGUUGUUAUGUUCGUCAUUGUGGUCGAUGUUUCCAAUGACUUAAUAUAUUGUUUAUUUGUGUAUGAUGGGGAUAUUUUGGUCUCGAAAAUUCAUAUCACCUGGCAUAUAUGAUAUCUCCAAAUAAGUAUCUAAAUCAAUAUUCGUACCAUUGGGAUAACCAGGUAGAUGUGUUUUAUUUUUGUAAAAAUCUUUCUAGUAUGUACAAUUCAUUUUUUUCUAACAUCAUGCCUAAUUGCAACAUCCACCAAUUAUGCCUUACCCUCCAUCGAGUAAUCCAAAGGAGUUUAGAUGAUUUCAAGAGACUCUCCAGCAUCUUCCAACUAUGCCCUACCCUUUGUUGAGUAAUCCAGAGUGAUUCCAAGAGACCCCACAACACCUAGUUCAAUCAUCAACUGUGCCUAACGAAUUGAUGAUUAUAUUGUAUUGUUUACAUAGAUGUGCUAGUACUGAUCAUGUAUACUGAAGACAUGAAUGCAAGCUUGCCGUGUGAUUACAUGGAGGAUGUGUGGCAGUACUGGUUUUGGAGUAUUUUUUUUUUGUGGGGGAGUUUGUAAUAGUUUUUGGUUGUGCAGUUUUGGGGGAGUUGGUACCAUUGUUUAAUUUUUUGGUUGUUGAGGAGUUUGUACCCCUAUGUUUGGUUGUGAAUAUUUGGUGUGUUGUGGGGAAAAAAAAAAGUCUCAUUCUCCAUAUUGUGUAGAUGAUUGUUUGUUGUGAAUGGAAUGUGAUGAACUUUGUAUAA